CGAAAUUCGUUGACGAGAACAGCAUCGUAUCUUAUCGUUAUUUUCAGAGAGCCUGUGGGUGGUGCGAACAGGUAGUAGCCGGAUAUGGAUGAUCCUCUCUAAGAAGCGGGCUGAAAGCAGACAACUGUGAGUAAACUUCGCCGGUUUCCUCCGUUAUGGGAUAGCAUAUGUUGGUAUGUGAAGUGUCACAGAGUUUUUCUGUGGAAUCAGGGUGGUAACGCGGAUUUUAUUCGUCCCUUUC
rnacentral:ncRNA from 1 species